rnacentral:rRNA from 1 species
AGUGAACGCUGGCGGUAGGCCUAACACAUGCAAGUCGAACGGCAGCACAGGAGAGCUUGCUCUCUGGGUGGCGAGUGGCGGACGGGUGAGGAAUACAUCGGAAUCUACUUUUUCGUGGGGGAUAACGUAGGGAAACUUACGCUAAUACCGCAUACGACCUACGGGUGAAAGCAGGGGAUCUUCGGACCUUGCGCGAUUGAAUGAGCCGAUGUCGGAUUAGCUAGUUGGCGGGGUAAAGGCCCACCAAGGCGACGAUCCGUAGCUGGUCUGAGAGGAUGGUCAGCCACACUGGAGCGGAGACACGGUCAAGACUCCUACGGGAGGCAGCAGUGGGGAAUAUUGGACAAUGGGCGCAAGCCUGAUCCAGCCAUACCGCGUGGGUGAAGAAGGCCUUCGGGUUGUAAAGCCCUUUUGUUGGGAAAGAAAUCCAGCUGGUUAAUACCCGGUUGGGAUGACGGUACCCAAAGAAUAAGCACCGGCUAACUUCGUGCCAGCCGCCGCCGUAA